AAAUUUUAAAAUAUAAAUAUAAAAUAUAAAAAUUUAAAUUCUAAUAUAAAUAAAAAAGUGAUAAUAUUAUUAAUUUUUAUUUAUAACUACCCACUUUAAAUCUUAUUCCAUCUUACCUAACCAAACGUUAUUUUUCUUAUUCCCAGAAAUAACCCAAUUUUUAUCCAAACGCAAAAUUGAUCUAAUCCCUGCUUAUACCUCAAUUUAUACCUAUCCCUAGAAUGCCCACUUUUUGCUUAUCCCCGAACCAAACAAUACCUUAAAAAAGAAUCACAUAGAUGCUAACGAUUUACUAUAU
rnacentral:lncRNA from 1 species